rnacentral:lncRNA from 1 species
GAUCUCGCGAGAGGCGAGGCCAAAACCCUGCCUCGCUAGCGCAGGGAGAAGUCGCACCAGUCGGAGCGCAGAGGGACACGCAGACAUUUCAGCAGAGGCCUCAAAGGCAGAACAAAAUAGUGCAAGGAGCCGCACAUCCGCACAGUGCUGAGACCCUGCCCAGGACAAGCUUGAUCCUGGCACCCAAGUGACAACCUGCAUUGAAAAGGCGGAACUUGGCUCUCCUGCCCUGCCAGCUGUAAGAGCUUGAAAGCAAAGCUAUGGGGGGAAUGUCUUUCAUUUCCCCCUGGAAGCUGGGAGGACGUUCAGCUUAGCAUUGCCAACUGUGUAAUGUGGACUUGCCUCUAAAAGAAGCCUUUUUCCUUGGAUGUCUUUCAGGCCGCAGUAUUCCCUUUGGCACCCCCACCCACCUGGAACAAAGCCUGAUGUAAAGUCUGGGUGCGACUCAGACCGGCCUGGGAAAGAAUUUAUUUAAUAAAUGGUGGAAAGUGGCUUC